UUCUCCUAGAGAAAAGGAACAGGGCAGGUCGUUAGAUUCAGAGUUUCCUCCAUCCGGGAGAAGUGAAGUUCAGUGGCGUGUCACCGUCCCACACAACACCCUCACCCUCCACAGUCUUCGAAUCUUGGUUCAAAGGACUAAUUAUCAAUUCAAGCGUCUAUUCCUGGACCACGGAAAGAACAGCAUGGUUAUAUGGAGGAAACAGUAGUGCAACAGGAAAUAUAUUUCUGUAAGUGAAAAGAACAACCCUAUCAAGCAGGCAGAAAUCUGGUACAAAUGAGAAGGCACCAACCAUGUAGUAAGACGAUGCAUCACUUACUAGCUGUGGGACUUUGAACAAGUUAUUUAACCUCUCUGGAACUCAGUGUCCUCAUCUGUCAAAGUAGGAUAUUUACACCGUCCUCAGAGAAAGUUCAAAAAUUGGAUUUUAAAAUUAUAAAAAAGAGCUUAAUAAACUAUAAAGUCAAUAAAAUAUCAGUUAUUAUGAUCAGGCAGGACAGUUAAUUAUCAAUCCCAUUUUACGGAUGAGAAACUAAAGAUGAAAGAGAUGAAGCCAAUUGUCCCAGUGUUACAGGCAGAAAUUGGCAGUCCCCGUGAGGACUGCGGUCUCAUCACGCCUGACUGUCUGGUCUUCAUCACACACUGUAUCAGGAUCAGAAACUCGGUAUCUCUCUUGCAUACUUUCUCUUAGGCUAAAGAUUUGGGAAGACAGAAAUAAGUAAGGACAAUGACUAGGAGAAUCCGUGACUCUGGCAUAAACAAAGGAUUGGUCCAUUCAAAUUCUGUAAUACAAGCAGGAUGCCUCCUCAGCAUGGCUGAUGAGUGGAGUAGGUCCAUGCCCAGGAUCUGAAUCCUUGGACCCGGGAUGCGGAAGUAGAGCGAGCAGACCUUUAACCACUCGACAAUGGGGCCGGCUCUCAAUGUGAUGUUUUUAAGGUGUACAAUGUGAUGAUUUAACAUUAGAAGAUGUUAGUGCAUAAGGGCAUUGGAAAUGCACAUAGGGAAAGAUUGGUUUUGUCCCCAGUAAAGUGUAUUUCAGGCUUUAUGAUCAAAAGAGUACAUACCUAUUAUUUUCCAGUUAAAAAUUACUUCAUAUAAAUUCAUGUUUAUGUAAGUAUUUAUAUUUGACAAUCCUCACACUUGUUAUUUAAUAACUUUUAUUAAAAGACAAAUAUUUCAGAGUCACUUCAAAACAAAAAUUGAUAAGGCUGGCAGCUGGCUAGCAGUGCCCCUGACUCAAGUUUAGCAGCUGGUGUGCUAAAUGGAAUGUGGCGUGGUCUCUGAAGAACGUGCCUGUAGAAGUCAACCACCAUCACUGCACGCUGCGGUGUGGGACGUAAUAACCGCCUGACUCCCCACCACAUCCAAAGCUUCUCUGGAUCGAGGGACCCAUACUGUCCUCUCUGGACAGCUUCCCCCGACAGAGCCCGUGCACCCUGGCCUUCCUUCUUCUGACCCUAGGAGAGAGCCACGCUUGCGAAGAGUUAACACAAGCUGUGACGGUGUUGUCACAGUAGCAGCACUUUUUUAAAAGAGAGACCAUUCUGCCAGUUGAAAGAAGAGAUGCCAGGAAUUUAGAUAAUAGGCACUUAUUUGGGCCUGAGAUGAUAACUUAUCAUCAUAUCAGCAUUACAGAAUUCUAUCAAUUCUCGCCAAGUCUACAAGUGAUGAGUAGAGCCAACAAUCAUAGGAAACCUAACCGCUUUUACACAUUGCGUUAUUUAAAAAUCAUCCAGUGUUUGCAUAAUUCUUACAUUCAGUGAUCUACUGCCUGGAUUGUAUAGUUACUCCCCUGACAAUGUGAAAAAUCCUUCUGUUGCCUGCCCUAACAGAGAGAGACUGCUCUUCUCCAGUGCUUAUCUAGCUCUGGUAAAACUUUUGGGCAGGCCCCUACAGGAACCAGGAUGUCUGAACACAUCUCACAGUCAUUUAUGGUGGCCAGUGACACCAGACUGACAACCAAUGAAGACCACUCAGAAAUCCUAGUACCAAAUUCAUACGCAUCCACUCGAUCAACAACCCCUGGGCUUCUGCCCUGUCACUCUGUUGAAGGCAGCCUGUUACAAUGCUAUAAGUAUACAAGAAAGACUACAAUACUCCUAGGCCUCUAUAAUUGAAAGACUGUGCAUACAGCCAUCUCCCAAGUUGGAUACAUGACAUAGCUAGACAUAAUAAGACAAUGAUUAUAAUAAAAAAUAGUUCUAUUCAGUGAGUACUCACUAUGUGUUAUUAUGUUAGGCAAUUUGCAUGCAUCAUAUCUUUGAAUACUCAGCACACAACUACCCUAUGAAGCACUUGUAUUGACCCAUUUUGCAGAUCAGGCAGGGCUAAGUGCUUAUUACGGGCUGAACUGUAUCCCCUAAAAUUCAUAUGUUGAAGUCCUAACCGAGGACCUCGGAAUGUGACUAUAUUUGGAGAAGGGGUUUUUAAAGAGGUGAUUAAGUUAACAUGAGGCCAUUAGGGAGGGCCCUAACCCAAUAUGAUUAGCAUCCUUAUAAGAAGAGUAAAUUUGGACACAGCCGUGCACAGAGGGAGGACCAUGUGAAGAUUCAGGAAGGCGGCCACCUACAAGCCAAGAAGAGAGGCCCCAGAAGAAACCAACCCUGCCGACACCUUGAUCUGGCUUCUAGCCUCCAGAACUGUGAGAAAGUAAAAUUCCAUUGUUUAAGCCACCUAGUCUGGUAUUCGUUACCACAAAUACCUAGGUGAACAUAGAAAAUGAAUACAGUGCCCAAGGUCACAUCAUGACUGAGUGGCAGGGUUAGGACUCAACCUUAGUCUGAUGCUGGAGACCAUGUGAUCAACCAUUACAUUAUAUUGCUUCUGAACUGGGUGAAACAGCUGAACCUUGGCAGAAGAAAUGGGAUUCAAAAUCAAUCCACAGAACUAGGAAACUGCAAAACGUGAGGUUUAUAUUAACCCAAAGCUUAGUUAAGCACAGCCCCAAGGUGUGCCCAUGCAGCUAUAAAGUCUCCCAGGUUUGCUCUUAUAAAUGACCUGCUCGAUCUGUGCAGGGGCCAAUUAUGAUUCAAAUAGCUGCUCGAGUGAAACAUUAAUAACCCUGCAGGAGUCAAUCACUUUGGCAAUAAAAGACACUGAAUGGCGGUCAUCAUCCUACCCAUCAGAACUGAGCACAAAUACCCAUUGCAGGUGUGAGCCAGAUUUAUUAGAGAGCAGAGUUAAAAAAAAAAUUCUACUCUUAGAUUGUCCGAUGUAAUUUCAAAACACAACAGGAUCAUUAACUUCUUUGCCUUUUGUCAUUUACUGACCACCAGCAGGAUAUGAAGCAUAAAAACUUUCUCAGUAAUAGGAACCUGCCUGUCAGGGAUGGCCACUAAGAAACUGUCACCUUGAGUCCUUGUUUACUGGCUAACUGCACAACAGGAAUAUGUUCAGAAGUGGAUGUUCCAGUAGAUUCUCUGACUUUCUGCAAAUUUCUAAAAUAAGAAAGAAAGAUAAUGAUUUGGAAAUUCUCUUGGGUCCUUUGCUGGUCCUGGCCUUACAUGGAAUUUUACUUAUAUUCAUUCUCAUUCAUUCUCUCUCUGCCUCUCUCCCUCCACCCCUUUUCCUUCUGUGUAUCUCUCUCCUUUCUCCCCACUCUUUCUCAUCCUUGCAGCUGAAGUGAAUAACUCCAAUAUGGCAAAGCCAUGGGAGGAGAUGGGUUUGGAUGCCUGAAUCACCAGAGUGAGGGAAACUGCCCAGGAGAGCUGCCUGACCAUCUGCCUGACAUGUGAGAAAGAAUUAAGUUUGUAAUUUGUAAAGCUACCAAGACUUGGAAGUUGUUGGCUACAGUGAUUCUGAGCUUAAAAAGUUACCAUUAUAGUUUCCUGUUUUGCUUUUUUAUCAUCCUCUUCCGGAUUAAAUUAUAUCCUAACCUCCUUCCUUGAUGGCUUCAUAUUAACUAAGUAAUAAAAUUUCUAUGACCAGGUCGGUCUGUAUCACCACCACCCACUCUGUUUCAAGGGAACGAGAGACUGUUCUGAAGCAUUUAUAUACUGAAACAGACAUUUAUUAAGCACCUGACAUAUGCAGUCCUGGCAGUGACCUCAGCAUUUAUAUGCACUGCCCACUUAAUCCUCAUGACGACCACAUGAAGAAGUUAUCACUAGUGUCCUCUCUACCACAGAGGAAACUGAGGCAGAGGGAGGGAGGUAAGUACUAUUGGGUAGCAGAGCUGGAAUUCCAACUCAGCCAUCUGGCUGCAGGGCCAGCUCUCCACAGAGAAACUAGCCCUUUGUGCCAAAGUAAGUGCUGAACUGGUCUUUCAGGGGCCCCAAGUGUUGUCUCCAUUUAAAAACUACUUUUGAGGAGGAUAGGUAUUACUGAUACAAGGACUGUCCACAUUACAAAGGGACUCCUUUAAAGAAUGAAGGCAUGACUAAGAUUAAAAUGAAAUAACCUUAUAAAAUGCUGUUCACCUAAAGCUAUUUUGGGGGAAAGCACUACUGCAGACAGUAAGGCACACUCGCCUCUUUGCCCUGCCCUUAUCUGCCUGUGUGCUUCAUGUGGUUUGUAUCUGUGAAAGGAGAGAAUCAUCCAGAUUAUGCCAAGAGAUGGCAACAUAACGCAUUUGGCAAUUUUGACACUUGAUGGAAAAAAAUAAAACCAAAAAAUAUGUUAUUGUAACAAGAGGUCACCCCAGGUCCCUCUGUGGAAGAUUUAAAUGCUGUGCCCUGCACAGGCAGCUGAACACCUGCAGAUUCUUCAGCUCAAGAGACUUGGUGCCAGGACAAUCUUCCGUUCCGCUCCUGAGAGUACAGCAGUCACUGGCCUCCUGGGCUGUCCUUACUCCUGAUGUCAGAGGUUAAACAAGCAGAGGCUGCACAACGCUCACACACAGCUCCGUUUCCUUCUAGGCUGACCCAGUGUGGCACGUGUGAGUGCUGACAAGGGUGCCCAGGAGUGCCAAUGGUUGAAGCACUUUUAAUUCCUGAAGCCCAGGGCCUCAUCUAAGGCAAUUACACUUGGAUUCACAAAUACCAUGUAGAUCUGUUUACAGGUGUACUUGACAAAGACUAAAGUUUAAGGGUCAAGUUUUACAUGUCAGUCAGCCAAGACAAAAACCAGUCUCUACUUCCGUGCUGACAAAGCCCAUCACGCUAAAAAUAAUCUAAUUGAUGUCUCAAGAAAAAUGCACCCUGAAUUUCAAUCCAGUUUUAGAUGCUUAAAAUCUGAGCCUAUUCAUCUCCUCGUUCAAUAAAUUACAAGAUGAUUUGUAUGAAAGACAGUGGUAAUGGCUAAUUACUGAUGAAAAACUCAGAACUUAAAGUUUUAAAAUGAUCUCUGGGAAACAAGCAUUUUAGAUUGCAAAUAUUCCCACUGAAGCUGACAGGGUUAUUAUAUGAACUUAAAAGAAAAAAACAGGUAUACUUGAGGUGCAGAAAAAUUUUAAAAGGUCACACCUUUUCUUAAGAUUAACAUUUUACUUAGGGGAGCACACAUCUAUCUCUGUUUCUCUGUGUGUGGUGUGGUAAGGCUGGUACUUAGAAUGCCUGGACUCCUCUGGCCUCAGGACAUCCCCGGGAAACAGUCAAGUGCAGACACCACCACUCCAAGCUAAGGAACAUGGUGAUCCAGAAAGGCUGUUAGGAAAACUGGCUUUUAGAUUUCAAGACUUGGUGUUUUAAGCAUUAAAAUACAGAGCAAAGCUAUUUAUUCAAACUAUAAGUUGUAUAGAUCUAAAACCCUAAACACUUUUCUGUGAACCAAAGCAACUGUAUUCAAUGCAAAUAUCUCCCUCGUUCUACACUAGGAACUGCCAUAAAAAAAUGGACACAGUCACCCUACAUCUGAGCAUGGGAAGUAAAACCUCCGUACCAUCCGAGGAGCACCAUGUUAGAUUCUGGAAAUCAAAUGAUGAGAAACAGACUGAGUCCCUUCCCUCGUUAGGCUCACCAGGAAGAUUAAGUACAAGAGGCUCUGACAGCAGAAAGCAGGCGAAUGUGACCAAGUCCUGGGGGAUAACCGGAGGAUGAAUAGACGUCAAUUAGGCAGAAAGUGAGGAAAGUGGGGUAGCCUGUCCCAGCAACCAAUAACUACAGGCUGAGAGGCUUGGGGACAGGUCAGCAGUUCCUGUAACUGGAAGAAACUGGCGAGGCUGCAGAGCUCAAAGUAGGGGAGGGAACAGCGGCAUCAGAUAGCGGGAGAAGUUAGCAGGAGCUAGAUGACUGCACAGGGCUUGAGAGCACAGUAAAGACAUGGGAAGGUGGGAAGACACCGAAGGGUUAAAGGAAGAGAUGACAUGACCAAGUUCGCAUCUUAAUUAUUCCCAUCUUCACAAAGUUUUAGCUGAAGCAGAGAAUUAAGCAAAGGAACCUGAAAUAAGUUUGCAGAUAUAAAGGUAAAUCUAAGUCCACUGUAAUUUAAUCCAGAAAUAUGGGACAUCAGGUUUUCAUUAGCUUCCACUUUCCCUUAUUAUAGAAUGUGUAAAAGUACAGAUAUCUAAAAUCUGAUAGUAUAGACAAACAGAUCAAUGGAACAGGACAGUCCAGAAGUAAACUCACAUAAAUACAGUCAACUGGUGCUUGACA